ensembl:lncRNA
UGCACACAUAUAUGCAUACAGUACGUAAACGCUACAUACUUUUACAACCCACAUGCUUUUUUAUGGGAGAAUUGAUUACCAUUUGUACAACCAUAAUUUAACUACAAAUACCAUGGUUAAACUGUGGUUAGAGUAGCAAAACCAUGGUUAAUUUAAGGUUACUUAAAUUAAACUAUAUUAUUUCUAUGUUUUUAACUAACUAUGUUAGCUACUACCCUUACGAGAAUUAACCAUAGUUUUAUUGUAGUAAAACUGUAGUAACCAUUUGCAUAACCACAGUUUUACUACAAAUACCAUGGUUAAACUAUGGUUAGUGUAGCAUGGUUAAUUUGUGGUUACCGUGGUUUAACUAGUCUAUAGUUACCAUGUUUUUGUUCGUUUGUUUGUUUGUUUGUUUGUUUUUAAUUUGAAGCAAAUGGUUAAUUUUCGUAAGGUUAUGCUUUUUUUGGUUGUAAAACCAUGGCUAAUUUUCGUAAGGGUAUGCUUUUUUGGUUGUAAAACCAUGGGUAAUUUUUUUGGCUGUUGGUGUAACUUCGUUUUGGUGGAUUCAGAUAACUAGGAGUCCGAUGAACCCCCAAAUUCUCCACAAUUGCACCGCAAUAAAUCUGCCCAAGCAAAUGACCAAACAAAGGAUGGAAUAGCUGAAAUAUUGUGCAAAAUAUUGUCCAUCCCCCCACCGAAGUCCACAGAGAAUUGGCUAUACCGUCUAACACACUCUGUUGCCUAAGCAUCUGCUCCGUUCAUUCGGUGAGGGGGGAACCGCUGUGAGCCUCCGCUCGCGCUUUUGUUCAGUGUCUCUCCUCGCGACCGGCGAAGUGCGCGCCGUUUCGAGCUCCUCUCUGGACUCGGGCUGAGGAGAAAUACUGUCCUUUUUCAACGAUUUUACCGAGGCAAGGAGUUCAUUUCAGCACGUUUCUGAACAGAUUUGAAUGGUUUACCACAGCGGCUGUUAUCAUCUACUCUGCUGUAUCUGAGGCGACGCGGCAUUCCUGUGGACUUUCUGAGGCGACGACGCGCUUCACUUCGGAGAAGGACAGGCUAUAUACAGCCCCCUUGCCAAGCGCAGUACCUCAGUGAGGACAGUGAAGGGGACAAAACCAGGAGCACAACGAUACUGAACGGCUGUUCGGAGCAGAAGACUAUUUAUAAACCAUGUUUUGAUUGACAUCAUGGUGAAAUGUUACAUCUAUGAAGAGUAGAGUGCCAUCUAAUUUCUAAACCAGUUAAUCACUUAUCCUUUCAAAUAUUAAGUGUUUUGCAAAGUACUAGUGGGUUCAGAUGCAAUAUUCUUGUCCCGUUUUCCCCAGAUCCACUCAAGUGAGUCAUUUUCUUUGCCUUGAUAUAACCCCCCGCCUGCAAGCUGUCAUUUGCAGUAAUGUCUUGAUGUGAAGUGGUUGAAAGAAAUCCCAUCAGAAACAGUGAGCCAGAAUUUUGGGAUCGAAAGGGACCCCGCA